rnacentral:rRNA from 1 species
AGUGAAAGCUGGCGGCGUGCCUAAUACAUGCAAGUCGAACGGAGUGGCGCAAGGGGGAGUAAUGUAUAGCUAAUCUGCCCUACACUAGAGGACAACAGCUGGAAACCACUGCUAAUACUCUAUAGUGUAGGAUGAGGCUAUAUUGUAUCAGCUAGUUGGUGAGGUAAUGGCUCACCAAGGCUAUGACGCAUAACUGGUCUGAGAGGAUGAUCAGACACACGGGAACUGAGACACGGUCGAGACUCCACCGGGAGGCAGCAGUAGGGAGUAAUGCUCAAUGGGGGAAACCCUGAAGCAGCAACGCCGCGUGGAGGAUGAAACUUAUCGGAGCGUAAACUCCUUUUGUUAGGGAAGCGGUACCUAACGAAUAAGCACCGGCUAACUCCGUGCCAGCAGCCGCGGUAAUUC